rnacentral:rRNA from 1 species
AUUGAACGCUGGCGGCAUGCCUUACACAUGCAAGUCGAACGGUAACAGGGAGCUUGCUCCGCUGACGAGUGGCGAACGGGUGAGUAAUGUAUCGGAACGUACCUUUUAGUGGGGGAUAACGUAGCGAAAGUUACGCUAAUACCGCAUAUUCUCUGAGGAGGAAAGCAGGGGACCUUCGGGCCUUGCGCUAAUAGAGCGGCUGAUAUCAGAUUAGCUAGUUGGUGAGGUAAAGGCUCACCAAGGCGACGAUCUGUAGCGGGUCUGAGAGGAUGAUCCGCCACACUGGAACUGAGACACGGUCCAGACUCCUACGGGAGGCAGCAGUGGGGAAUUUUGGACAAUAGGGGCAACCCUGAUCCAGCCAUGCCGCGUGAGUGAAGAAGGCCUUCGGGUUGUAAAGCUCUUUCGGCCGGGAAAAAAUCGCAUGGGCUAAUACCCUGUGUGGAUGAUGGUACCGGAAUAAGAAGCACCGGCUAACUACGUGCCAGCCGCCGCAGUAA